rnacentral:lncRNA from 1 species
CUAUAUAUAGGAUUACACUCGAUUUAUUACUAUUAUAUAUAUCGAAAGCUAAUCCAAAAGGUGUUAAUAAAUUAAUAACAAAAGAAUUAUUUUCAAAAUGUACAUAAACUGUAUUAUUAUAUGGGUAAGUAAAAAUAUGAAUACCCAUAUAAUGUUUAUAAUCAAAUGCUAUAAAAUUACUUAAUCCAUCUAAUAUAUAAUUACAUUUAUAACAAUCCGAAUAACACUCGGCUUUAUUCAAUAAACUUACAAAAUUACCUCUAGCAUCAUAAUAACAUAGUUUUUUAUAUAAAUUUUUGUUUUCUGAACAGUGACUUAUGCUGGUAACAUGUGGUGCUAAUGCAUAUUUGUUUGUAACGUUAAUGAACGGUAGUUUUGCAUUUUCUUCCACAUAUUUUUCCGCAUUAUUAUCCACAUUAUUAUCCACAUUUUUAUCUGUAUUUUUAUCCACAUUAUUAUCCACAUUUUUAUCUGUAUUUUUAUCCACAUUUUUAUCCAUAUGUUUAUCCACAUUUUUAUCCACAUUUUUAUCCAUAUUUUUAUCCGUAUUUUUUAGUUUCUCUUCGUUUUCUUCUCCAUUUUCGUCAUAACUUUCUUCUUCAAAUUCUUCCACAUUUUCUUCAGUAUUUUCUUCAGUAUUUUCUUCUCCACUUUCUUCAUCAAUUCCUUCUCCACUUUCUUCUCCAAAUUCUUCUUCAACUUCUGCUUCAAAUUCCUCUGUGUCCUUUUCUGUGGGUACAUUUUCAUCCAGUUCUUUUUUUACAUUACUAUUACUGUUCAUAUUUAUAACCCGUCUUAAAUCUAAUUUACCUUUAUUUAUAGUACAAUUAUAUUGAUUGGUCCAAAUAAUAUUAAUUUGAUAUUUUUUAUCUUCUUUUUUUUUAAUUCAUUAUUUUUCAUUUUUUGAAAAAAAUUUUGUUUGUAACUUGUUAAAUUUUGUACAAAAGAAAUAUUGCUUUGUAUAUUUUUAUCUAAAUAUAUGUAUGCAUCAUAAAUGCUAAAAUACAUAUAAUUCAAAUCAUUGUUGUAUAGGUCUAUUAUGUUAUAUAUUUUUACUUUCCCAUUAUUGUCAUUAAUAACAUUCGUAUCGGUAAUAUUUUCAACUGUAUUACUACUAUUGUCAAUAACUAACAAAUAUAAACAAUUUUCUGCUGAUAUUUUUUCAUUCAAAACUUUUUUAGUAUUUACAAGUAGAUAAUGUAGUGUUUUUUUCACUUGUAUUAUUUUGAUCAUAAUUAAGAUCAGAAAUACUUACAGCGCUCAUAUUGAUAAUUUUAUCGCCAUUUUUAAAAAAAUAUAACUUCUCCGCUUUUUGUGGAAUUUCUGUUAAAAGCGUGUUACUUUUUUUUUUUCCUCCUUUUUUUUUUCAUUUCUUCAUUUUUUUGAGCUUUACUAUUAUUAUUAUUAUUAUUAUUUUGUACAUUUUUUUCUUGAUCUGACUGUUCAUUAUUUCCUACUUCUACAUUUCUGUUUAUGUUUAUUUUAUAUAUUUUAUCUGCAUUUUGAGAUAUAUAUAAAGUAUCUUUCACAACAGUAACUGCAUUAAGAACAGUUAACUUUUCACCUUCUAUAUUAUCAAUAAUACUUAAAACUUCAACGUAAUCUUUUUUUUAUUAUAUCUUGUAUGAACAAUAUAAUAUUUUUCAUUAAUUGCACAUAUAAUAAAAUAAUGUUUGGGUAUACUGUCA